UUGUCAACCACUUGCAGCCGUGGACUGCGGCUGCCUCUCCUGUGCUGAUUAGAGAGAGAGAGAGCGAGAGAGAGAGUUCCACGGUGACACCACUCCAGCCAGAUUCCGCUCUCUACCGUCGUCCCGUCCUCUCCUAGAUGGCCCAGCGCCGCCUCGCCGUCCUCUCUUCCCACCUCCUCCAAACCGACCCUGUACUCACAUCAGCCACGCACCGGCGGGCGGGGCCCGUCGAACCUUUGGAUCUCGCCUCCACUUCAUCCUGCUGCGCUGGCGGAGGCGACGCUGGACGGGAUGAGGAGAAGGGAUGCGUCUUUUGUAGGAUCAUCCGUGAUGAAUCCCCCGCAUUCAAGCUUUAUGAAGAUGAUGUAUGCAUCUGUAUUUUGGACUCUAACCCAUUGAUUUUGGGGCACUCGCUUAUCAUCCCAAAGUCACAUUUUCCUUCACUGGAAGCGACUCCACCUCCUGUGGUAGCAGCCAUGUGUUCCAAGAUACCAUUUCUCAGCAGUUGUAUAAUGAAAGCUACUCAAUGUGAUUCAUUCAAUUUAUUGGUCAACAAUGGAUCAGCGGCAGGGCAAGUAAUAUUUCAUACUCAUCUUCACAUAAUUCCUCGAAAAGCCGGAGACGAACUAUGGCGUUCUGAGAGUUGUAGAAGGCACCCCAUCGAAUCAAACCAGGAAAUCGACCAUCUCGUGAAUUCAAUCAGGCAUCUGGUUUCUUCUUCUUCUUCUUCUUCUUCCCAGAAAUAGCUGCCGAUCUAAUACACGGAUCGUCCCAAAGAAUCUGCAAGAUUAGGGAUCCCAACUUGUGAAAACCCACGGAAGAGCCAUUAAAAAAAUCUGUGCAAUCAUAAUAAAAUAAGUAUAAUUAUGACAGAAGAUUAGAUGCUUGGGAGGUCCUCCAGCAUGGGAUGGUAGAUAAAGAAGUGUGUUUCCAAACAAGCAUUUGAACAUGGAGUUGAUUUCAUUACCAUCACAGUGCGUCCAACACACUCCCUUCCCAUCCUCCACCUGAUCUCAAUGAAGGCGGCUCAGGGUCUGCAAGCGGUCGACGGCGUCGAGUUCGCGGGCAGGCGCUUCUUCUUACGGCAGCGGCGGCGGCGGCGGGGUGCAGGCACUUGCAGUCGACGCAGACCCAGGCCACCAUGUUCUCCCUCGAACCGUGCUACUCCUUUGAGCUCCUCAGGGCAUCAGCUUCGAGCUGUAUGUAGGUCAACGCUGCAAGUCCUGGUUCGACGACCAGGCGUUCGUGCUCUCGCUUAAGAUCCAUGGAGGCGGGCCAAGUGGAAGCUCGGUAACGCCGCCCACCUUCUCCCCUUCCCUUCCUCUCCAUGGACUCUCUUCCUUGACCUGUGUGUACACGGCCGGAGCUUCUCCGACGCUCCUUACACUGAUUUGGCCUCGUCCAACCCCCACUAAAAGGUUGGGAGUGCAGCGACGCCUUUAAAUGCCUCCACGAACGAUACCAGUGGGGUUGGGAUCGUCUCCGAGUGCCGCACAGUCAUCGGGCUGCGCCUCUAGAAAUCCCAAGCCAGGGAGCGUGAACGACACAUUCAUCCUCGUACAGCUACACCAUUGACUCCCAUGAACUCGUUCGAGUGGGUGAGCGAGCAUUCACGAGCAGUUGGUGCCCACAAGACAACAGCCUGUGGUGUGAUGUGACUUCUACAGCUCACCAGCAGCAACCACUACAAUAAAUUAAGGUCAUGAAGGCUUGAGGUCAUUUUAAUGUUUGAGGUCAUAACCACUGUGAGUUUAAUGUUGCAGUACAUAUCAGUGAGUCAAGGUGAUCGAUAUUUGACUCGAUGACUUGGCCACAGAGAUAGAUCUUGACAUUGUUAUGUAACAAUGUCUUGCCAUCCACGAAGGCAUCACGGACAAAUCAUGAAACUUUAGAUCGAUGUGUUUUGCUCUGUGUUUUCUGGAUUGAUAUUUGAUACAUUAUAUAUAUAUCUUCCUAAAUGUUAGGCAUUUAAGAUCACAGUUACGUUUGCAUGUUUGCUAUCACCUACCUACAGAAGAUGAGCCUCGGGACUUGGCAUUGAAGCUUUUCUGAAGAGCCUACGAGGUUUGAUUGCAACAAAGGGGAUCUCAGGUUCAAUGGAAUUGAAUUUGAUCGGGUGUGGCAUUGAGCGAUUAUGAGAGCCAUCCUGCUGCAAACGCUCAGGCAUUUCCAGAUGCUAAUGCUAUCCUUUCUUCCUCAAACAGAUAAGAAGAGACAGGACUUCUGCUCAUGCCAAAUAUCAUCGACAUCUUCGCUUCAUCAAAUCACUGAUACAAGCAAGUUCCCCAGGUCUUCCUGAUCUGCCUGCCGAGAAAUCUUUGCAGUCCAAAGAAGACCAUCAUCACAUCCAUCCAUUGACAGCACAUUAUGUUUUAGAUGAAGUUGAGCUCUGUUGAUCUGAUAUGUACCUUCUUCCACCGCACCCAUUCUCCCUCUGGCUGUUGAAGAACAUGGCAGCAACAGGAUCCCCGAGGUUGUAGACUGCUGCAAAGUCUCUUGUGCUGAAGUUUUGCCUCCAUCCCGGUGCAUAGAUUGUUUGCCGGACGGAUUGCCGGAACAGCACAAACACAAAGCGAUGGAUUCCAGAGAUGGGUCGGGGACUCUCAUAGAUACUCUCUCUUGGUUGGUGUGCUGGGGCUUGGUGCAUCAGGGUCCACCAUCACCUGAUCACAUACCCCCAUCCAUCAUGGUUAGCUCAGGCAUUAAGAGGGCUACUUAGUCAGAUGCAACUGAAAGAUGAUCAAACGCGACAAAAGCAUUAAGAAGUCAUUGCCAUUGGAUGAUCAUGGCAAUAACGGUAGGUGUUUCCUAGAACCAAAGUACCCUUCUCCUAGCUCAUUCUGGCAUCUCUGCUCGUCUUGUGUGAGCAGGCUUGAGGAUGGGGAGAAGAUGUGUGCUGGUGAACAGGACAAGAAAGUCAAUCAUUCUUGUCAUUCCAAAGUCAGCAGACAAAAAGCUUGAACAGUGAUCUCAAACCCCAACGAGGAUUCUGUGACUGCUGUCCUGGUUUCUACCUCCAGUCCAAAAACCACUGUGCAUCUUUACCCACCGUGAGUUAGGGUGGGCUUUUGGCUAAUCCCAACUCGACUCAAACUGGAUUGGAUUUCUCAAGACA